CCUACGGGUGGCAGCAGUGAGGAAUAUUGGUCAAUGGGAGAGAUCCUGAACCAGCCAAGCCGCGUGAGGGAAGACGGCCCUAUGGGUUGUAAACCUCUUUUGUCGGAGCACAAAACCCGGGACGUGUCCCGGACUGCGUGUAUCCGAAGAAAAAGCAUCGACUAACUCCGUGCCAGCCGCCGCGGUAAUACGGAGUAUUCGAGCGUUCUCCGGAUUUAUUUGGUUUAAGGGGGGCGUAGGCGGUCCGUUAAGUCAGCGGUAAAAUUGCGGGGCUCAACCCCGUCGAGCCGGUGAAAAUGGCAGACUUGAGUUGGCGAGAAGUACGCGGAAGGCGCGGUGUAGCGGUGAAAUGCAUAGAUAUCGCGCAGAACUCCGAUUGCGAAGGCAGCGUACCGGCGCCAGACUGACGCUGAGGCACGAAAGCGUGGGGAUCGAACAGGAUUAGAUACCCGGGUAGUC
rnacentral:rRNA from 1 species